GACGAACGCUGGCGGCGUGCUUAACACAUGCAAGUCGAACGGAAAGGCCCUGCUUUUGUGGGGUGCUCGAGUGGCGAACGGGUGAGUAACACGUGAGUAACCUGCCCUUGACUUUGGGAUAACUUCAGGAAACUGGGGCUAAUACCGGAUAGGAGCUCCUGCUGCUUGGUGGGGGUUGGAAAGUUUCGGCGGUUGGGGAUGUACUCGCGGCUUAUCAGCUUGUUGGUGGGGUAGUGGCUUACCAAGGCUUUGACGGGUAGCCGGCCUGAGAGGGUGACCGGCCACAUUGGGACUGAGAUACGGCCCAGACUCCUACGGGAGGCAGCAGUGGGGAAUAUUGCAAAAGGGGCGGAAGCCUGAUGCAGCAACGCCGCGUGCGGGAUGACGGCCUUCGGGUUGUAAACCGCUUUCGCCUGUGACGAAGCGUGAGUGACGGUAAUGGGUAAAGAAGCACCGGCUAACUACGUG
rnacentral:rRNA from 1 species